rnacentral:rRNA from 1 species
AUGGCUUUGUUUAGAGAUUUCCUAGAUGUAUGUGGACUUGUGGACCUUGGGUAUAUUGGCCCUAAAUUUACAUGGUCUAACCGACAGCAUGGUGGGACGAGCAUAAGAGUUAGACUAAAUCGAGCUUUGGCAAACGGGGAGUUCCUCAGAAGAUUUGAUAAUUGCUCCGUAGAGAAUAUUAUCACUACAUCUUCAGAUCACUAUGCAAUAUUGAUAACAAUAGCAAGUAGUGGUGACCAGAUUGCUACCAGCCCAGUGAAUCAUUCUUUCAGAUUUGAAGCUGCAUGGAUGAAGGCUCCGGAUUAUAAUGAAAUGAUAGAGGAAAACUGGAAAAUUCUGAAAGAUGAUGCUCCUUCCCUAAACAACACUUGGUCUGCACUUAAUAAAUUAUCUAAAUCUAUCCAUACCUGGAGCAGGACAUCGUUUGGACAUAUAAAAAAAGAGAUUAGAAGACUUGAGAAAUGCCUUGAUGAUAUUAGAAGGAACAAUUUGGUGACGGAUAGUUCUGGUCAAGACAAGCAGAUUGAAAAACGGUUAUGUGAUCUAUUUGAGAGAGAAGAAAUUAUGGCACGUCAGCGCUCAAGGGUUGAUUGGCUGCGGGAGGGGGAUCACAACACCUCAUUUUUCCAUGCCCGAGCUUCAGCUAGGAGAAGAACAAAUUUAAUUAAUUUCUUGAAGAGAGCUGACGGAACAAGAUGUGAAGAUCGUGAAGGGAUUAAGAGUAUGGUAUAUGAGUUUUAUGCUAAUUUAUUCACCUCUGAACCUUGUACCUCAUUAGAUGCAGUACUGGAAGCAAUUCCUCCUAAAGUGAAUGAAGAAAUCAAU